rnacentral:piRNA from 1 species
UGGCAGCCUCCUUCCCUCUUGGUCUCUA